UACGUAGGGUGCGAGCGUUAUCCGGAAUCAUUGGGCUUAAAGGGUCCGCAGGCGGGAAGAUAAGUCAGUGGUGAAAUCUCACAGCUCAACUGUGAAACUGCCAUUGAUACUGUCUUUCUUGAAUUCGAUCGAAGUGGGCGGAAUGUGACAUGUAGCGGUGAAAUGCUUAGAUAUGUCACAGAACACCGAUAGCGAAGGCAGCUCACUAGGUCUGGAUUGACGCUCAGGGACGAAAGCGUGGGGAGCAAACAGG
rnacentral:rRNA from 1 species